rnacentral:ncRNA from 1 species
GAAAGCCGUAUGAGGGAAAACCUCACGUACGGUUUGAUGAGGGGGCAAGGGAAACAGUCCCGCAAGAGGGAACUGCGCCCUUGUCCUACUCUAC